rnacentral:tRNA from 1 species
GUGGGGUUAGUUUAUUGAAAAUAGUAGGUUGUGGUCCUAAAGUAAGUGGAUCAAUCCACUCCCCCUCU